GGGCGGUGUGUACAAGACCCGGGAACGCAUUCACCGCGGCAUUCUGAUCCGCGAUUACUAGCAACUCCAACUUCAUGCAGGCGAGUUGCAGCCUGCAAUCCGAACUGGGAUCUGUUUUAAGGGAUUUGCUUCACCUCGCGGCUUCGCGGCCCUCUGUUCAGACCAUUGUAGCACGUGUGUAGCCCAGGUCAUAAGGGGCAUGAUGAUUUGACGUCAUCCCCACCUUCCUCCGUAUUGUCUACGGCAGUCCCUCUAGAGUGCCCAACUGAAUGCUGGCAACUAAAGGCAGGGGUUGCGCUCGUUGCGGGACUUAACCCAACAUCUACGACACGAGCUGACGACAACCAUGCACCACCUGUCUCUUCUGUUCCGAAGGAAACUUCUAUCUCUAGGCUCGUCAGAGGAUGUCAAGACCUGGUAAGGGUCUUCGCGUUGCUUCGAAUUAAACCACAUGCUCGCUGCUUGUGCNGGUCCCCGUCA
rnacentral:rRNA from 1 species